UUGCACAGUGAACACCCAAGUGUGCUUGCCACUUGGGGGGGUGGCUUUGAUUCUGUGCUACAGCAACGUCUGUCCUUUUCCUCUACAUUGAAAGGCGCUUUGUCCUUUGAAUGUAUUCAGAAAGUCAGCACAUGA
ensembl:snoRNA